AAUCUACCUUUUGCUGAGGGAUAGCCCAGAGAAAUUUGGAUUAAUACCUCAUGGUAUUAUUGAUAGGCAUCUAUUAAUAAUUAAAGGUUACGGCAAAAGAUGAGUAUGCGUCCCAUUAGCUAGUUGGCGAGGUAACGGCUCACCAAGGCAACGAUGGGUAGGGGUCCUGAGAGGGAGAUCCCCCACACUGGUACUGAGACACGGACCAGACUCCUACGGGAGGCAGCAGUGGGGAAUUUUCCGCAAUGGGCGAAAGCCUGACGGAGCAACGCCGCGUGAGGGAUGAAGGCCUCUGGGCUGUAAACCUCUUUUAUCAAGGAAGAAGAUCUGACGGUACUUGAUGAAUAAGCCACGGCUAAUUCCGUGCCAGCAGCCGCGGUAAUACGGAGGGAGCUAGCGUUGUUCGGAAUUACUGGGCGUAAAGCGCACGUAGGCGGAUUUUUAAGUUAGAGGUGAAAUCCCAGGGCUCAACCCUGGAACUG
rnacentral:rRNA from 1 species